rnacentral:rRNA from 1 species
GAUGAACGCUGGCGGCGUGCCUAACACAUGCAAGUCGAGCGAUUCUCUUCGGAGAAGAGCGGCGGACGGGUGAGUAACGCGUGGGUAACCUGCCCUGUACACACGGAUAACAUACCGAAAGGUAUGCUAAUACGAGAUAAUAUGCUUUUAUCGCAUGGUAGAAGUAUCAAAGCUCCGGCGGUACAGGAUGGACCCGCGUCUGAUUAGCUAGUUGGUAAGGUAACGGCUUACCAAGGCGACGAUCAGUAGCCGACCUGAGAGGGUGAUCGGCCACAUUGGAACUGAGACACGGUCCAAACUCCUACGGGAGGCAGCAGUGGGAAUAUUGCACAAUGGGCGAAAGCCUGAUGCAGCAACGCCGCGUGAGCGAUGAAGGCCUCGGUCGUAAAGCUCUGUCCUCAAGAAGAUAAUGAC